UGCGAGGUGGAGCAGUCUGGCAGCUCGUCGGGCUCAUAACCCGAAGGUCGGGGGUUCAAAUCCCUCUCUCGCUACCA
rnacentral:tRNA from 1 species